CCUACGGGAGGCAGCAGUGGGGGAUAUUGCACAAUGGGGGAAACCCUGAUGCAGCGACGCCGCGUGGGUGAAGAAGCGCCUCGGCGCGUAAAGCCCUGUCAGCAGGGAAGAAAAUGACGGUACCUGAAGAAGAAGCCCCGGCUAACUACGUGCCAGCAGCCGCGGUAAUACGUAGGGGGCAAGCGUUAUCCGGAUUUACUGGGUGUAAAGGGGGCGCAGGCGGCGAUGCAAGCCAGGAGUGAAAGCCCGGGGCCCAACCCCAGGACUGCUCUUGGAACUGCGUGGCUAGAGUGCAGGAGGGGCAGGCGGAAUUCCUGGUGUAGCGGUGAAAUGCGUAGAUAUCAGGAGGAACACCGAUGGCGAAGGCGGCCUGCUGGACUGCAACUGACGUUGAGGCCCGAAAGCGUGGGGAGCAAACAGGAUUAGAUACCCCAGUAGUC
rnacentral:rRNA from 1 species